rnacentral:rRNA from 1 species
GUGCUUAACACAUGCAAGUCGAACGAUGAUCCGGUGCUUGCGCCGGGGAUUAGUGGCGAACGGGUGAGUAACACGUGAGUAACCUGCCCUUGACUCUGGGAUAAGCCUGGGAAACUGGGUCUAAUACCGGAUAUGACUCCUCAUCGCAUGGUGGGGGGUGGAAAGCUUUUUUGUGGUUUUGGAUGGACUCGCGGCCUAUCAGCUUGUUGGUGAGGUAAUGGCUCACCAAGGCGACGACGGGUAGCCGGCCUGAGAGGGUGACCGGCCACACUGGGACUGAGACACGGCCCAGACUCCUACGGGAGGCAGCAGUGGGGAAUAUUGCACAAUGGGCGAAAGCCUGAUGCAGCGACGCCGCGUGAGGGAUGACGGCCUUCGGGUUGUAAACCUCUUUCAGUAGGGAAGAAGCGAAAGUGACGGUACCUGCUGAAGAAGCGCCGGCUAACUACGUGCCAGCAGCCGCGGUAAUACGUAGGGCGCAAGCGUUAUCCGGAAUUAUUGGGCGUAAAGAGCUCGUAGGCGGUUUGUCGCGUCUGCCGUG